rnacentral:lncRNA from 1 species
AAGCACAGAACAGCAGUUGUAAACUCCAAUCGUUUUUGUUGCUAAUGUUUUCAAAGCCAAUGGCGUCCUCCUCAGGCUAAGUUACAAAUGUUCUUAUAAUACUUUGAGAGUAAUGAAGUAAGUCGCACAGAGGACUGGGAAGAAAAUAGCUUACAAACGAUGCCCUACCUUAUUUAACAAGCUUCGAUGCAAUAAAGAUAGAGUAAAGGAAGAACAGAGAGUGGGAGUAUAUAGGAUCCCUAUUAGAAACAAUAUUACCAGAGAGGACCAGUCGUACAUCGGGAUGACAACCAGGCCCCUUAGUAGAAGGCCGAAAGAGCACAAACGUGACUUGUCAGAGAAGAAGGAUAUCACAUCUCUUGCAAAAACAGCAUGUGAGUAUAAUGUUGAAGUAGAGUGGACUGAUGCGAAAGUAGUUAGAGAAAUAGAGAAAGACAAGCAUGCAAUCCUUGCAGAGACCAUGGAGAUUUAUACUAGGAGUAAGAA